rnacentral:rRNA from 1 species
AUUGAACGCUGGCGGCAGGCCUAACACAUGCAAGUCGAGCGGCGCGGCGGUCGGGUGAGUAAUGCCUAUGAAUCUGCCUGUUCGUGGUGGAUAACGUCCGGAACCGGGCGCUAAUACCGCUUACUCUCCCAUUCGCCUAUGUCGGAUUGGCAAGUGGGUGGGGUAAAGGCCUACCAAGGCGACGAUCCGUAACUGGGCGGAGAGGAUGAUCAGUCACAAGGGAACUGAGAAACGGUCCAGACGCCUACGGGAGGCAGCAGUGGGGAAUAUUGGACAAUGGGCGAAAGCCUGAUGCAGCCAUGCCGCGUGUAUGAAGAAGGUCUUCGGAUUGUAAAGCACUUUAAGUUGGGAGGCGUUACCAACAGAAGAAGCACCGGCUAACAUCGUGCCAGCAGCCGCGGUAAUAC